CAGUAGCCGCGGUAAUACGAAGGGUGCAAGCGUUACUCGGAAUUACUGGGCGUAAAGCGUGCGUAGGUGGUGGUUUAAGUCCGUUGUGAAAGCCCUGGGCUCAACCUGGGAAUUGCAGUGGAUACUGGGUCACUAGAGUGUGGUAGAGGAUAGUGGAAUUUCCGGUGUAGCAGUGAAAUGCGUAGAUAUGCGGAGGAACACCGGUGGCGAAGGCAAUCCCCUGGACCUGUACUGACGCUCAUGCACGAAAGCGUGGGGAGCAAACAGGAUUAGAUACCCGUGUAGUCCCUGUCUCUUAUAA
rnacentral:rRNA from 1 species